AAUGGUUCAUGAGUUAUGGCCUUUUGAAGCUCAACAAUUUCUGAAAAUGAUUUGAUCAUAUCUUGCCAACCACAAAUGAGAAAUGAGUGUUCUUGGACUUUUUGGAAAGGUGAGAGCAAGAUCUUCAAUUUUCAUGUUGGACAAAAUUUCAUUUGAAGCUUGUAGGAUGAUGUAAAUUUGAGGAGAAGAACUUUCCAUUUUUGGCAGUUUCCAAUUACAGGUCACCUGCUAUUUUAGGAAACUUUUGAUCUGACUUUAUUUUCUUCAACCUUGAUCUUUG
rnacentral:lncRNA from 1 species